rnacentral:rRNA from 1 species
UACAGAGGUCUCAAGCGUUGUUCGGAUUUAUUGGGCGUAAAGAGCUCGUAGGCGGUUUGGUAAGUCGGGUGUGAAAUCUCCACGCUCAACGUGGAGGGGCCACUCGAUACUGCCAUGACUCGAGUCCGGUAGAGGAGUGUGGAAUUCCCGGUGUAGCGGUGAAAUGCGCAGAUAUCGGGAGGAACACCCGUAGCGAAGGCGGCACUCUGGGCCGGAACUGACGCUGAGGAGCGAAAGCGUGGGGAGCAAACAGG